rnacentral:tRNA from 1 species
GGAGAGAUGGCUGAGUGGCUUAAAGCAGCGGUCUUGAAAACCGCCGUGCGCUAAUAACGCACCUAGGGUUCAAAUCCCUAUUUCUCCGCCA